rnacentral:rRNA from 1 species
UGCGUAGGUGGUAUGGCAAGUCAGAAGUGAAAACCCAGGGCUUAACUCUGGGGCUGCUUUUGAAACUGUCAGACUGGAGUGCAGGAGAGGUAAGCGGAAUUCCUAGUGUAGCGGUGAAAUGCGUAGAUAUUAGGAGGAACAUCAGUGGCGAAGGCGGCUUACUGAACUGAAACUGACACUGAGGCACGAAAGCGUGGGAGCAAACA